rnacentral:rRNA from 1 species
AUAAUGGGUCAGCGACUUAUAUUCUGUAGCAAGGUUAACCGAAUAGGGGAGCCGAAGGGAAACCGAGUCUUAACUGGGCGUUAAGUUGCAGGGUAUAGACCCGAAACCCGGUGAUCUAGCCAUGGGCAGGUUGAAGGUUGGGUAACACUAACUGGAGGACCGAACCGACUAAUGUUGAAAAAUUAGCGGAUGACUUGUGGCUGGGGGUGAAAGGCCAAUCAAACCGGGAGAUAGCUGGUUCUCCCCGAAAGCUAUUUAGGUAGCGCCUCGUGAAUUCAUCUCCGGGGGUAGAGCACUGUUUCGGCAAGGGGGUCAUCCCGACUUACCAACCCGAUGCAAACUGCGAAUACCGGAGAAUGUUAUCACGGGAGACACACGGCGGGUGCUAACGUCCGUCGUGAAGAGGGAAACAACCCAGACCGCCAGCUAAGGUCCCAAAGUCAUGGUUAAGUGGGAAACGAUGUGGGAAGGCCCAGACAGCCAGGAUGUUGGCUUAGAAGCAGCCAUCAUUUAAAGAAAGCGUAAUAGCUCACUGGUCGAGUCGGCCUGCGCGGAAGAUGUAACGGGGCUAAACCAUGCACCGAAGCUGCGGCAGCGACACUAUGUGUUGUUGGGUAGGGGAGCGUUCUGUAAGCCUGUGAAGGUGGCCUGUGAGGGUUGCUGGAGGUAUCAGAAGUGCGAAUGCUGACAUAAGUAACGAUAAAGCGGGUGAAAAGCCCGCUCGCCGGAAGACCAAGGGUUCCUGUCCAACGUUAAUCGGGGCAGGGUGAGUCGACCCCUAAGGCGAGGCCGAAAGGCGUAGUCGAUGGGAAACAGGUUAAUAUUCCUGUACUUGGUGUUACUGCGAAGGGGGGACGGAGAAGGCUAUGUUGGCCGGGCGACGGUUGUCCCGGUUUAAGCGUGUAGGCUGGUUUUCCAGGCAAAUCCGGAAAACCAAGGCUGAGGCGUGAUGACGAGGCACUACGGUGCUGAAGCGACAAAUGCCCUGCUUCCAGGAAAAGCCUCUAAGCAUCAGGUAACAUCAAAUCGUACCCCAAACCGACACAGGUGGUCAGGUAGAGAAUACCAAGGCGCUUGAGAGAACUCGGGUGAAGGAACUAGGCAAAAUGGUGCCGUAACUUCGGGAGAAGGCACGCUGAUAUGUAGGUGAAGCGACUUGCUCGUGGAGCUGAAAUCAGUCGAAGAUACCAGCUGGCUGCAACUGUUUAUUAAAAACACAGCACUGUGCAAACACGAAAGUGGACGUAUACGGUGUGACGCCUGCCCGGUGCCGGAAGGUUAAUUGAUGGGGUUAGCGGUAACGCGAAGCUCUUGAUCGAAGCCCCGGUAAACGGCGGCCGUAACUAUAACGGUCCUAAGGUAGCGAAAUUCCUUGUCGGGUAAGUUCCGACCUGCACGAAUGGCGUAAUGAUGGCCAGGCUGUCUCCACCCGAGACUCAGUGAAAUUGAACUCGCUGUGAAGAUGCAGUGUACCCGCGGCAAGACGGAAAGACCCCGUGAACCUUUACUAUAGCUUGACACUGAACAUUGAGCCUUGAUGUGUAGGAUAGGUGGGAGGCUUUGAAGUGUGGACGCCAGUCUGCAUG